GAUGAACGCUGGCGGCGUGCCUAAUACAUGCAAGUCGAGCGAACGGACGAGAAGCUCUUUCCCUUGAUGUUAGCGGCGGACGGGUGAGUAACACGUGGAUAACCUACUUAUAUUUCUGGGAUAACUUCGUGAAACCGUAGCUAAUACCGGCUAAUACUUUGUACCGCUUGGUUCAAAAGUUAUACACGGUCUUGCCGUCACUUUUAGCUGGAUCCGUCCUGCAUUAGCUAGUUGGUAAGGUAACGGCUUACCAAGGCAACGAUGCGUAGCCGACCUGAGAGGAUGAUCAGCCACACUGGAACUGAGACACGGUCCAGACUCCUACGGGAGGCAGCAGUAGGGAAUCUUCCGCAAUGGGCGCAAGCCUGACGGAGCCACACCGCGUGGGUGAUGAAGGUCUUCGGAUCGUAAAGCUCUGUUGUUGGGAAAGAAAAUAAGUAGGAGUAACUGUGGACAUCUUGACGGUACCUAAUCAGAAAGCAACGGCUAACUACGUG
rnacentral:rRNA from 1 species